rnacentral:rRNA from 1 species
UCUCAUUCGGAUUGGAGUCUGCAACCCGACUCCAUGAAGCUGGAUUCGCUAGUAAUCGCGCAUCAGCCAUGGCGCGGUGAAUACGUUCCCGGGCCCUUGUACACACCGCCCGUCAAGCCAUGGAAGCCGGGAGUGCCUGAAGUGCGUGAGCGUAAGCAGCGCCCUAAGGUAAAACCGGUGACUGGGGCUAAGUCGUAACAAGGUACC